ACAACUGUCUGUCAAAAAGUUUGCUUUUGCUUUUUUAUUUAAAAAAUUAAAAUUUAAUAAAACAAAGCUCUAAACAAAAUGAGAGAAAAAAAAAAACAAACAAAAAAAAUCGUAGAAUUGUUCCUGUUUUACCUAUGCUUACUUAUGAUGCCCAAGGAGAUGACGAACAGAGAUCGCUGCCACACAUCGACAAUGGGUUCCAUUCCAAACUACCACCAGGAAUUCUACCACAUGGUUUGCCCACUAUGAAGGAAGUUGCAUCAGCCAUAACACCACUUGAACACAAAAAAGAACCUGAAGAGAAAAAUAAAUUAAGGAACUAUCGGAAGAACAAAAACAGAUGAUCAUCUUGUCGGCGGACUUUCAAAGGUUUGUUUUACCCGCUGGACGUGUCUUCGAAAGGGCUCUAUCUGAGAAUGUCGACAUCUACACCGAAUACAUUGGAGGUGGUGAUAGGAGUCAAACGAUGAGAGGACACAUGCUAGGUUGUCAUUGAAUCGAGAUUUCCACGAAGACCGAUGGUCUAAGAAUCGAUGCGUCACUUCAAUGGAUUGGCCAACACAUUUUGGUUGUUGUUUCAUAUCACAAUCAUGAGGAGAGUCACAAUGAACCAGAUGGUGUUGUAAUGGUCUGGAACACAAAAUAUAAAAAACAAACACCCGAAGAUGUAUUCCAUUGUCAAAGUGCCGUUAUGUCAACAUGCUUUGCUAAACCAGCAGAGCACCUCUAAGUGCAACUGCACAUACGCAUCCAGUGUAUUGUUUGCAAAUGGUUGGCACACAGAAUGCAGACAAUGUGUUAUCGAUCUCAUCCGAUGGCAAGCUUUGCUCAUGGAGAUACACUGGAAUUGCAGCCACGGCAAUCGAACCCAAUUGCUAUCAGUUGCAUGUCCUUUCCAUCGAAUGAGAUUAACAAUCUGGUUAUGGGUAGUGAAGAUGGCAAUGUUUAUUAUGCUUAUCGACAUGGAAUACGUUCGGGUGUGUCUGAAGUCUAUGAGAAACAUUUGGGUCCAGUGACGGGAAUAUCAACAG